CACAAGCUGCGUUGUUCGUAAUGAUAAUAAAGUUUUAACCUUUAAGCUGUAAUAGGGAGUUUUACAUUGAAGCUGGAAUGGCAAGCCUCUGUCUAUACGACUAGGAGGACAAACAGGAAUGUUUCUGCGAACACCCACUUUGAGGAGUGGUGGUUUAAAACUUUCUUACUAAGUUACGGCAAUUGCGGCUUUUUU
rnacentral:other from 1 species